AUGCCGGCUCUCAUGGCGAAGCGCCUUUCCUCGGAGCGCUGCGCGAUCCGCCGCGAGCUCCACCGGCGCAGGAACCUCGCCGCCGCGCCGAAAGGAGGGAUCGCCAAGAAGUCGCCUGCAAAGCAGAGUUCCGCGUCGACCCACAACUCGUCCGCGGACGAGCCGGCGACCAAGAAGCCAACGUCACGCCCGCAAGCCGGAGUCGCGACGUCGCCUGCGUCGAUCCUGCAGCACGCGCCAGUGGCAGUGGCCACCAAGGAGCAGAUUGCCGCCAUGGCCAUGGGAGACGGCGCCGUGGCCAAGGAGAUCGCCGCCUCUGCGCCGCUGGGACAGGUUGCCAAGAGGUGCACCGCCCCGCCGCGCCGAUCCGCGCUCAUCCCGACCGCGUCCAAGAUGAAGGUUAAGGUUUCCGCCGGAGUUCCCAACAAGUCCACUGCCCCGCCACCACCAUCCCGAUCCUUGGAGCUAUCCGCGAAGAUGCCCUCCGCAGCGGCCCGGCCGCGCUCUCCGUCGAUCCGGGUGAAGAAGGGCAUGACGGUGAAGGUGCGCACGCGCGCCGGGGUCCUGCCGACGGGGCACUGCCUCGUGCUCUGGCUCGCCGCCCGCGUCGUCUCCGCCGCAGCGGACGACGACGGCUUCCUCGAUGUGAUCUACAACGGCAACUUCCCCCGCGACGAUCCCUCCCGAACCGUGCGCGUCGCCAUGGACGACGUCAGGAGCAUGCCCGCCGUCGGCGAGAGUUGGAGCCGGAUGGAUGGCCAACUAGGAGUAGUACAAAGCUGA
rnacentral:rRNA from 1 species